rnacentral:rRNA from 1 species
AGUGAACGCUGGCGGUAGGCCUAACACAUGCAAGUCGAGCGGCAGCACAGUAAGAGCUUGCUCUUACGGGUGGCGAGUGGCGGACGGGUGAGGAAUACAUCGGAAUCUACUUUUUCGUGGGGGAUAACGUAGGGAAACUUACGCUAAUACCGCAUACGACCUACGGGUGAAAGCAGGGGAUCUUCGGACCUUGCGCGAUUGAAUGAGCCGAUGUCGGAUUAGCUAGUUGGCGGGGUAAAGGCCCACCAAGGCGACGAUCCGUAGCUGGUCUGAGAGGAUGAUCAGCCACACUGGAACUGAGACACGGUCCAGACUCCUACGGGAGGCAGCAGUGGGGAAUAUUGGACAAAGGGCGCAAGCCUGAUCCAGCCAUACCGCGUGGGUGAAGAAGGCCUUCGGGUUGUAAAGCCCUUUUGUUGGGAAAGAAAAGCAGCAGGUUAAUACCCCGCUGUUCUGACGGUUCCCAAAGAAUAAGCACCGGCUAACUUCGUG